AACGAACGCUGGCGGCAUGCCUAACACAUGCAAGUCGAACGAAACCUUCGGGUCUAGUGGCGCACGGGUUCGUAACGCGUGGGAACCUGCCCUUAGGUUCGGAAUAACUCCCCGAAAGGGGUGCUAAUACCGGAUAAUGUCUUCGGACCAAAGAUUUAUCGCCUUUGGAUGGGCCCGCGUUGGAUUAGCUAGUUGGUAGGGUAAAAGCCUACCAAGGCGACGAUCCAUAGCUGGUUUGAGAGGAUGGUCCGCCACACUGGGAGUGGGACACGGCCCAGACUCCUCCGGAAGGCAGCAAUGCGUAAUAUUGGACACUGGGCGAAAUGCUGAUCCAGCAACGACGCGUAAGUGAUGAAGGCCUUAGGGUUGUAAAGCUCUUUUACCCGGGAUGAUAAUGACAGUACCGGGAGAAUAAGCCCCGGCUAACUACGUG
rnacentral:rRNA from 1 species